CCCUUAGAUGUCCGGGGCCGCACGCGCGCUACACUGAAGGAAUCAGCGUGGCUUUCUCCCUGACCCGAAAGGGUUGGGAAACCCGUUGAAUCUCCUUCGUGAUAGGGAUUGGGGCUUGAAAUUGUUCCCCAUGAACGAGGAAUUCCCAGUAAGCGCGAGUCAUAAGCUCGCGUUGAUUACGUCCCUGCCCUUUGUACACACCGCCCGUCGCUACUACCGAUUGAACGGUUUAGUGAGGGCCUCGGAUUGGUCUCGGCCCGCUCUUUACCGGACGGCGCCGUUGGUCGAGAAGACGCUCGAACUUGAUCGUUUAGAGGAAGUAAAAGUCGUAACA
rnacentral:rRNA from 1 species